AGGAAAAGGAUGCGCUGGGUCGCUGAACCACCGGCUUGUGAUACGCCAGUGAAGACUAUGGCUUCCACUCACUCCUUUCUGCCUCCUGGUGUUCACCCACGUGUCCCUGCAUGAUGUGUUGAUAUUGUGUCCAGAAUUGGUGGGUUCUUGGUCUCACUGACUUCAAGAAUGAAGCUGUGGACCCUCACGUGAUAAAGCUAUGUGACAUUUUAGAUACAUGGACAACAGAAAGACGGAAUUGGACAAAGAAUGAAAAUGCAGGGAAGAAAUAAAUCAGCAAACAAAACACUGAACGUGAAAUUGGAAAGUGGUUGUAAUGGGAAGGAUGAAGAUGUCCCAAAGGAAGUAACACUGGCAACAACUUUCACAUUAAAGAAACUUUUGGGGAAAUUUUACAAAUUUAAAUACAAAGGGUAAAACACUGGAAGCGAUCCAUACUUAGAAAGGAAUAUGACAAUUCACUAAAGCAAAGCAAGAUGCUUACUUCAUAUCAUAAAUUACAUGAUUUAUGUGCUAAGAAGCUGUUGUGAUUUUCAAGAAUCUCGAGGAAGCUCCCAAUAGCUAUCUCAUUCUGCCACAACAAAGCAGAUAUCUCUUAAGUGCUUACUAAGAAGCCCAUGUGACUUUCACAUCUGCCUAUGCACCUGUCUGCAACUACCCCAGAGUAUAAUAGACUGUUCUCUUCCACCUUUUAAAUCUCAUUCAUGCAAGUGCCUCCUACUGGAAAACUGUAAUCCAGAAUCAUUUCGGGGAGAGGAUUCUGGGAAACUGUUCACUGGCUUCCCUUCUGUGAUACAAAAAGAGGAUCUUAAAGCAGCUUGGUCGUUGUGGUAGGCAGAAAAAUUGCCUUCCAGAGAUGUUCGAUCCCUGCAACCUGUGAAUAUAUUACUUUAUAUGCGAACAGAAACUUCAGAGAUGGUAUUAAGUUUACUUUAAAAAUAGAGAAAACAUCCUGGAUUAUUCACAUGAUCCUAGUGUGAUCACAUGUGUCCUUAUUAAAACUGGAAGAGGGAGACAGAAGACUGAGUCAGAGAGAUGCAAGAAAAUUCAAAGUGUGAGAGGGACUCCUACCCACCAUUGCUGGUGUGAAAGAUAGAGAAAAGGGGCCAGAAGCCAAGGCAUGGAGGCAGCAUCUACAAGCUAGAUAUCACCUUCAUCUGACAGCCUCAAAGGAAACAGGAAUGCUAGUGCUACAAUUGCAACAACCUGAAUGUACAAUAAAGCAAUUCUCGACCGGGCACAGUGGCUCAUGCUUGUAAUCCCGGCACUUUGGGAGGUCGAAGCAGGCGGAUCACCUGAGGUUGGGAGUUCGAGACCAGCCUGGCCAACAUGGAGAAACCCAUCUCUACUAAAAAUACAAAAUUAGCUGGGCGUGGUGGUGCACACCUGUAAACCCAGCUACUCGGGAGCCUGAGGCAGGAGAAUUGCUUGAACCCGGGAGGCAGAGAUUGUGGUGAGCCAAAAUCUUGCCGUUGCAUUCCACCCUGGGCAACAAGAGCAAAACUUCAUCUCAAAACAAAAAAAAAACAAAACAAAACAAAACAAAAAAACCAAUUCUCACUUAGAGCCUUUAGAAAGGAACAGAGCUCUACUGACUCCUUCAUUUCUGCUUGGUAUUAGAGACAGACUUGUAACUCCUUCAGCUCCUGCGGUAUCUUCAGCUUCAUCUUCUCUGACUGUUGGGCCAGGUGUGUGUUUAGCUUCCCGAUGAAGGACAUUGACUUCUCUUGCACUUCAUCUGCAUCAUCCAAGUUGAAGGUUUAGAGGUCGCGGGAAACUGAUGUGGAUUUCUGCUUAUCUUUGGGAAUUCUGGUUAUCCCUUUUCUCCACCAUUUUGCAGGCAUCUUUCCUUCCUUACUGCCUGUCCUGCUGUCUUCAGAGUAAACACAAGACUCAGAAGUAAUGGGAAAAUAUAGAUUUCUUUACCACUUCCUACAAUAGCAUAUAAUCAAAUAAUGCCUAUAAUAAAUGCUUUAUUCUAU
ensembl:lncRNA SPANXA2-OT1 SPANXA2 overlapping transcript 1